rnacentral:rRNA from 1 species
UACGGAGGAUUCGAGCGUUAUCCGGAUUUAUUGGGUUUAAAGGGAGCGUAGGCGGGUUGUUAAGUCAGUUGUGAAAGUUUGCGGCUCAACCGUAAAAUUGCAGUUGAUACUGGCAUCCUUGAGUACAGUAGAGGUAGGCGGAAUUCGUGGUGUAGCGGUGAAAUGCUUAGAUAUCACGAAGAACUCCGAUUGCGAAGGCAGCCUGCUGGACUGUAACUGACGCUGAUGCUCGAAGGUGUGGGUAUCAAACAGG